rnacentral:lncRNA from 1 species
AAAUUAUAUUGGGGGCUCAUUGACAAAUCUCCUUCUAAAAGAAAGAGCUACUUGAGCUAGCUCGGAUCUCCUCAUUCACAAGCCAAAGACUAUUCGAGCCCUUAUUAUCGAGCUCUACAGAUUCUCCGACCAUAUCCAACACAUUUUUAGCUACUUGAGGUAGGCCUUUUGAUGUGAUCAACAAAGGAUGAUAUUUAUUCAUAUAAGACCCUAGUUAUGUUUACAACUAUGGAUAGGUUCUCAUUUCAUUCUCGAACUAGUACCAGC